rnacentral:rRNA from 1 species
AUGGUAUGUACUGGCUUUACUGAUUCCUCCUUCUUGAAGAACUGUAAUGUCAUUAAUUUGGUGUUGCAGGGAAACAGGACUGUUACUUUGAAAAAAUUAGAGUGUUUAAAGCAAGCUAACGCUUGAAUACAUUAGCAUGGAAUAAUGAAAUAGGACGUUCGAUCCUAUUUUGUUGGUUUCUAGGAUUGACGUAAUGAUUAAUAGGGAUAGUUGGGGGCAUUAGUAUUCAAUUGUCAGAGGUGAAAUUCUUGGAUUUAUUGAAGACUGACUACUGCGAAAGCAUUUGCCAAGGAUGUUUUCAUUAAUCAAGAACGAAAGUUAGGGGAUCGAAAACAAUCAGAUACCGUCGUAGUCUUAACCAUAAACUAUGCCGACUAGGGAUCGGAUGAUGUUAAUUUUUUAAUGACCCCUCU